GAGAGGGAAGAUCCGUCCUUGCUGUGCAGCUUUAUCUCUGCCUCCCUCUGUCCCUCGUCCACUGUCCAACGCUGCUGCUGCUAUUGUGUAUUGAUUCAAUAGGACGCGAGGUGGAGUUGGCGUUGGUGGAAACGGCUGGCAGCGGCGCCUCAUGUCACAACGCAAUCACGACCCGGACUCAUAGAUUUUUGUACACAGCCCUUCCUGUCUGCAGAAAAUAUCAACUAGCCUGGAGAAACAACCCAAACUGGUGAAAGAACAAGAUUCUAUAUGGAUGGGGUUCUGUAACAAAGAGGCUGCUCAUCCAUCCCUACAAGAUCCCAUUCAACACCUUAGCAUGCACCGCGUCUGGAAUAUUUUCGCCGAGGAGUUAAUAUGGAAGAUAACGUAUGACUGGCCCUGAGAGCGGAUGAAUUAUUCAGCGGUAAUCUGGAGAAAGCAAUAAGGCAAUAAAGAAACACAAAGAUUAUGACCAUAGGAUCUCCUACAUGAAUAGUGAUUACCGACUGAAGACACCAUCUGCCCAGAGAGGAUCAAUUUCUCCAGAGGUUCCCCAUCGCAGAGAAACCACCA